rnacentral:rRNA from 1 species
AAACUAACAAGGAUUCCCCUAGUAGCGGCGAGCGAAGCGGGAAGAGCUCAAAUUUAUAAUCUGGCACCUUCGGUGUCCGAGUUGUAAUCUCUAGAAAUGUUUUCCGCGUUGGACCGCACACAAGUCUGUUGGAAUACAGCGGCAUAGUGGUGAGACCCCCGUAUAUGGUGCGGACGCCCAGCGCUUUGUGAUACAUUUUCGAAGAGUCGAGUUGUUUGGGAAUGCAGCUCAAAUUGGGUGGUAAAUUCCAUCUAAAGCUAAAUAUUGGCGAGAGACCGAUAGCGAACAAGUACCGUGAGGGAAAGAUGAAAAGCACUUUGGAAAGAGAGUUAACAGUACGUGAAAUUGUUGGAAGGGAAACGCUUGAAGUCAGACUUGCUUGCCGAGCAAUCGGUUUGCAGGCCAGCAUCAGUUUUCCGGGAUGGAUAAUGGUAAAGAGAAGGUAGCAGUUUCGGCUGUGUUAUAGCUCUCUACUGGAUACAUCCUGGGGGACUGAGGAACGCAGUGUGCCUUUGGCGGGGGUUUCGACCUCUUCACACUUAGGAUGCUGGUGGAAUGGCUUUAAACGACCCGUCU